GAUGAACGCUGGCGGCGUGCCUAAUACAUGCAAGUCGAGCGAACAGAUGAGGAGCUUGCUCCUCUGACGUUAGCGGCGGACGGGUGAGUAACACGUGGAUAACCUACCUAUAAGACUGGGAUAACUUCGGGAAACCGGAGCUAAUACCGGAUAAUAUAUUGAACCGCAUGGUUCAAUAGUGAAAGACGGUUUUGCUGUCACUUAUAGAUGGAUCAGCGCCGCAUUAGCUAGUUGGUAAGGUAACGGCUUACCAAGGCAACGAUGCGUAGCCGACCUGAGAGGGUGAUCGGACACACUGGAACUGAGACACGGUCCAGACUCCUACGGGAGGCAGCAGUAGGGAAUCUUCCGCAAUGGGCGAAAGCCUGACGGAGCAACGCCGCGUGAGUGAUGAAGGUCUUCGGAUCGUAAAACUCUGUUAUUAGGGAAGAACAAAUGUGUAAGUAACUAUGCACGUCUUGACGGUACCUAAUCAGAAAGCCACGGCUAACUACGUG
rnacentral:rRNA from 1 species